GCCACAUAGCUGGGAUAGCUCGGUAGAGCAUGAAACUCUUCAUCUCAGGGCUGUGGGUUCGAGUCCCACAUUUGGCA